GGGCAAUGCUGGGGAGGGCAGCCCAGGGACGCUGGGGACGUGGCUGCUCUUAUCUUGCGCCCCAUCUGCCUUGCAGAUGGGCAUCCAAACGAAGAUGGAGCCAGAGCAGGACACUGACCUGUCGUCAGCUCUCAUCUGGUCUCCAUGCUGCCAUCCAGAACAGAUAAGCCAGCCACAAACAGUAUCCUUUCUAGUUCCUAGGGGACCCUGGAUGGUACUCAAGAUCCCCCUGCCCUGACUUAACAUUUUAGACCGUGUUGCUAAGACCUAUCCCCACUGCAGGUGCUGACACUGGACCAAUUGACUGCAGUGGACCUCUCCACAGAGGGCCA
rnacentral:lncRNA from 1 species